rnacentral:rRNA from 1 species
CUACGUGCCAGCAGCCGCGGUAAUACGUAGGUGGCAAGCGUUGUCCGGAAUUAUUGGGCGUAAAGCGCGCGCAGGCGGAUCAGUCAGUCUGUCUUAAAAGUUCGGGGCUUAACCCCGUGAUGGGAUGGAAACUGCUGAUCUAGAGUAUCGGAGAGGAAAGUGGAAUUCCUAGUGUAGCGGUGAAAUGCGUAGAUAUUAGGAAGAACACCAGUGGCGAAGGCGACUUUCUGGACGAAAACUGACGCUGAGGCGCGAAAGCCAGGGGAGCAAACAGGAUUAGAUACCCUGGUAGUCCACGCUGUAAACGAUGUCGAUUUGGGGGUUGAGCUUUAAGUUUGGCGCCCGUAGCUAACGUGAUAAAUCGACCGCCUGGGGAGUACGGCCGCAAGGUUAAAACUCAAAUGAAUUGACGGGGGCCCGCACAAGCGGUGGAGCAUGUGGUUUAAUUCGAUGCAACGCGAAGAACCUUACCUACUCUUGACAUCCAGA